UACGUAGGGGGCAAGCGUUAUCCGGAUUUACUGGGCAUAAAGAGCGCGUAGGUGGUGGAGUAAGUCAGCUGUUAAAUGCUUCGGCUCAACCGAAGUUCGCAUUUGAUACUGCUUCGCUAGAGAUCAGGAGAGGAAAGUGGAACUCACGGUGUAGCGGUGAAAUGCGUAGAUAUCGUGAGGAACACCAGUGGCGAAGGCGGCUUUCUGGACUGAUUCUGACACUGAGGCGCGAAAGCGUGGGGAGCAAACGGG
rnacentral:rRNA from 1 species